rnacentral:rRNA from 1 species
UACGUAGGGGGCUAGCGUUGUCCGGAAUCAUUGGGCGUAAAGCGCGUGUAGGCGGUCCGGUAAGUCCGCUGUGAAAGUCGGGGGCUCAACCCUCGAAUGCCGGUGGAUACUGUCGGGCUAGAGUGCGGAAGAGGCGAGUGGAAUUCCUGGUGUAGCGGUGAAAUGCGCAGAUAUCUGGAGGAACACCAAUGGCGAAGGCAACUUCCUGGGGCAAUACUGACACUGAUGUGCGAAAGCGUGGGGAGCAAACAGG